UACGGAGGGGGCUAGCGUUGUUCGGAAUUACUGGGCGUAAAGCGCGCGUAGGCGGCUUUGUAAGUCAGAGGUGAAAGCCCGGAGCUCAACUUCGGGAUAGCCUUUGAGACUGCAUCGCUUGAAUCCGGGAGAGGUGAGUGGAAUUCCGAGUGUAGAGGUGAAAUUCGUAGAUAUUCGGAAGAACACCAGUGGCGAAGGCGGCUCACUGGACCGGUAUUGACGCUGAGGUGCGAAAGCGUGGGGAGCAAACAGG
rnacentral:rRNA from 1 species